rnacentral:rRNA from 1 species
AUACGUAGGGGACGAGCGUUGUCCGGAAUUACUGGGCGUAAAGGGCGCGCAGGCGGAUAUUUAAGUCAGCUGUAAAAGGCAUGAGCUCAACUCAUGUAUGCGGUUGAAACUGGGUAUCUAGAGUGCUGGAGAGGUAGGCGGAAUUCCCGUUGUAGCGGUGAAAUGCUUAGAUAUCGGGAAGAACCCCAGUGGCGAAGGCUGCUAACUGGCCAGCAACAGUCGCUGAGGCGCGAAAGCCAGGGGAGCGAAAGGGAUUAGAUACCCCGGUAGUCCUGGCCGUAAACGAUGAAUGCAAGGUGUGGGUGUCGAGAGGCAUCCGCGCCGGAGUUAACGCGAUAAGCAUUCCGCCUGGGGAGUACGAUCGCAAGAUUGAAACUGAAAGGAAUUGACGGGG